rnacentral:rRNA from 1 species
UACGUAGGUGGCAAGCGUUGUCCGGAAUUAUUGGGCGUAAAGCGCGUGCAGGCGGCCUCUUAAGUCUGAUGUGAAAGCCCCCGGCUCAACCCGGGGAGGGCCAUUGGAAACUGGGAGGCUUGAGUAUAGGAGAGAAGAGUGGAAUUCCACGUGUAGCGGUGAAAUGCGUAGAGAUGUGGAGGAACACCAGUGGCGAAGGCGACUCUUUGGCCUAUAACUGACGCUGAGGCGCGAAAGCGUGGGGAGCAAACAGG